GUCUACAGCCAUGCCACCCUGAACAAACUCCAUCCUAUCUGAUCUCAGAAGCUAAGCAGAGUUGGGCCUGGUUAGUACUUGGAUGGGACCACCUAGGAAGACCAGGUGCUAUAGGCA
rnacentral:rRNA from 1 species